CAGUGGUUAGUUUAAAUAAAAAUAUUAAUUUUGGAGAUUAAUGAUGGGAAUUUUCUUGCCACUGA
rnacentral:tRNA from 1 species